CUGUUGGUGGAUGAGUGGCGAACGGGUGAGUAACACGUGAGUAACCUGCCCCUGAUUUCGGGAUAAGCCUGGGAAACUGGGUCUAAUACCGGAUACGACCUCCUGACGCAUGUUGGGUGGUGGAAAGUUUUUCGAUCGGGGAUGGGCUCGCGGCCUAUCAGCUUGUUGGUGGGGUAAUGGCCUACCAAGGCGACGACGGGUAGCCGGCCUGAGAGGGCGACCGGCCACACUGGGACUGAGACACGGCCCAGACUCCUACGGGAGGCAGCAGUGGGGAAUAUUGCACAAUGGGGGAAACCCUGAUGCAGCGACGCAGCGUGCGGGAUGACGGCCUUCGGGUUGUAAACCGCUUUCAGCAGGGAAGAAGCGAAAGUGACGGUACCUGCAGAAGAAGUACCGGCUAACUACGUGCCAGCAGCCGCGGUAAUACGUAGGGUACGAGCGUUGUCCGGAAUUAUUGGGCGUAAAGAGCUCGUAGGUGGUUGGUCACGUCUGCUGUGGAAACGCAACGCUUAACGUUGCGCGUGCAGUGGGUACGGGCUGACUAGAGUGCAGUAGGGGAGUCUGGAAUUCCUGGUGUAGCGGUGAAAUGCGCAGAUAUCAGGAGGAACACCGGUGGCGAAGGCGGGACUCUGGGCUGUAACUGACACUGAGGAGCGAAAGCAUGGGGAGCGAACAGGAUUAGAUACCCUGGUAGUCCAUGCCGUAAACGUUGGGCACUAGGUGUGGGGGACAUUCCACGUUCUCCGCGCCGUAGCUAACGCAUUAAGUGCCCCGCCUGGGGAGUACGGUCGCAAGGCU
rnacentral:rRNA from 1 species